CCGGGACCAGCAGGAGGUUCGGCUCGUCUUCAUCAGCAGGAUGGGAACCGGGUAGGAGCUCACCUGGUGGAAGAAGGAGAGGUUUUCAUUUCCCCAUAUAUUGCUGCUACAUCUCAUCUGGGUUAAUGGUUAAUUCCUGUAAACACAGACUGAGAGUUGUCUUGGACAACAUCCAGGUAACCAAAGGACUCCGGCUUCACCAAAACAAGCAGAGUUGCAUUAGCUAUGAUAAUAUUAUGCUGACUGAAGUAAUUGGGGAGGAUGUUGCUACAAAAAGGUCCAACUGGGAAAGAAACACAAGCAGCCAAACGAUCAGGAAAGUUUGAAGAAAAACUCCCAGGUCUGAGAAGGAGCUCUCAAGUACCAGACUUCCUGCUCCGGUACAUCUUUGGUGCCACAAAAUGUCUCCGCUGGAU